rnacentral:lncRNA from 1 species
CCCAUUUUGGACUUAACCUCUAUAAAUAUCCUAUAACCCUAACCUCUCUCAUUUUACUCCUCCAAGCGCCGCCAUCCUAUUCCCCAAACAUUAAAAAUUCUCUCAACUAAUCCUGAGUUAAUCUUAUUUAUUUUUCAAACAAGAUAAGUUCUAAAACUCUUCAAUUUGGUGGUAGUUUUGAUAUCAUGGGUAUGAUUACGUGGUGUUAUUUCUACUCUUAUUUUAUCCAUAGCCCUUUUGUACUGCAUCUUGCGCAUAAAAAUUCUUAUGCAUCAUUAGUAGUUGUCGUUGUGCUCGUGUUGUUAGUUGUUGAAUUGAUUAGUUAUUGCUUCAUUAAGUUGCCUUAGGGGAUAUCGACGGGGCUUUACUAAUUUGAGGGUAUGUAGUUCAAGUUAAAGUGUGGGGUGGGGCGAGUUCUUUGUACUUUCUAUAUAUACAAUUGGGCUUCGAUUCAUGAAUGUUGUUUUAGUCUAAAUACAUAGAUAGAGGAUGUAUCUACCAAAACAAAGGUUACUUGCUCUUUUUGUGCUUGAUUAUGUUAAUUAUUACAUGCAACAUCGAGAUUGAUGUCGUAUCGCAAAGGGAAGUCUGAGUACCUACUGUGAUAAUUCUGAAAUGCUACGCACAUAAUCGAGCUUGCACUAUCUUGUUCACCUUACUAAUUAGUAACUGAAUUACAUAAUGGUAUGUUCAAAGUGGAUUGAUCUUAACCGAAUUGUUGAACUAGACAUUCUUUGACCAUAUACUAUGUGGCCUAUGAUUGAGUAAUUGGUUAGCAUAGAUUAGUUGUUGUUAAGUUAGUUGACGCCCUUUUAACUGUGACAUUUUCUGUUAUGCACUUUCUACUAUCGUUAGAAUUAAGUAUGGAACUAUUGAAAUACAGUCUAGGUACACUUGCACAAUGUAGUAAAAUUGGAGUACUCUUAUUAACCUAUCCUGUAAUAUGAGUAGCAUCGAUAACAACAAAGUGUUAGGUGGCGUUUUCACUAGUCCAAAUGUAGUGAAGUUAGCAUGCUCUAAGCCAUAUUGAAAUGUCUUUGUUGCCUAUUUUAAAUCUCAGGAAUUAUGAAUCGAAGGAAACUAGGACUAAAUGGAAAAUCAAGGACUUCAAAGUCAGCGAGGAAAUGCAGCAGACCAGCUGCGAGGCAAAUUAAUAGAGUGCCCCAUGCUCCUCCAGUCCUACAUGGUCAAACACGUAGAUUUGGGUUUAAGGAAGUUAGGCAAGACGGAAAGCAAUGGCACUCCAAACACCUCGACACCAAAUACAUACCUAAGAUGUUUAUUGAUAGUGUAAGUCUAUAGAGAAAAUGACCAAGUAUGGUAAGUCAUCUGGAGCAGCUGAACAUAGUUUUCAUUUUCCACUAGCUGCGUGAAUGCAAUUUGCAUCUUGUGCAUGAGUUUUAUGCAAAUUAGGACCCAAGGGAUGUACAUCAUGAGGUGAAAGUUCAUGGUAAAAUCGUCAUAUUUACUUUAGAGGACAUCAAUGACUUGUUGGGAAUACCUGAGGCAGAUGUACAUUAGUUAAAAUAGUUGAUUAUCACUCUGAAUUAUGCUUACAAUCUACAUCUGUUGUGUGGUACUCAUUCAUUAGCCCGAUAGACUAGACAAAAGGGCACAGGUCUUCAUUCCUCAUUACCAUAUGCAUAGAUGAACAAGGAAGCUCGCAUAUGGGGAUGAAUUAUGCACUAUUUCCUAAUUCAAGGCAAGCAUAUGACUGAGGUUACACAUAAACGGGUAUGUUUGACUUACGCUUCAUAGUGUAAUGAUGUUGCAAUGAAUGUAAUCCAUGUCAUAUUUUCUGCCAUAAAAAAGGCACGCUUCAUUGAGAGAUACUGAUAUGGAUUUGGAGGCUUAUUGACUAAGUUCAUAAGGUGGCACUAGGUAGAGAAGAAGGAAUUAGAUUAUAAGGCUAUAAUAGAUAACCACCCUAUUGAUUUUACUAGAGCCAAGAGCACAGCUGGGCCCUUAGGACCAAUUCUUACUAUGGCCGAGUGUCAAAAUUAGACUGAUGAAAUCAUGUCUAGAACAUACAAUUUUUAGAUGUUGUACAUGAGGCUUGGGGGAAGAGCAACCACAGAUGAAGAGAUUCAUGUUGUUGACUUGGAUUACCCGCUCGGUCAUCACGCCAAGACAUUGCUGAGGAUUGGACCAGAGUUUAUGGAACCGACAGAUAAUGAUAUACCUACCAAUGAAGACAGACAGUGGCAUGACUUAAAUAUUGAGUCUAAUAUUGAUGAUUAGUCUGAGGAUGUUGAUGGACAGGAUGAUAUUGAUGCAUCUAAUAAUGGUGAUGCAACACAAGUUGACAUGGCUGAUGCCUAGGUUUGCACAUACAAAGAUAGUGCUCUUCCUACGUGUGGGGUGGUCUUGCACCCUCUUCCCUUUUCCUUUUGUCUCUUGAUGUGUGAGAAAAAUCUAACAUAUUUAAUGCUUUUUAGCUCAAAAUAAUUGUGAAUUCUGAAGCAACUCUUGUCGUUUUGAUGUGUUUUCUCAUGAUAUUGCAGUAAAAGGCUGAAGGAAUGGAAAUAAACGAUAAUGGAGAAAAAAAGUUGAAAAUCUGAGCAAAAGAGAAGAAAACAUGACUGACGACAUCCGUGAUAAGUCGUCAGCCUUGUGAUAGACUAUCAGAAGCGGCGUCAGCCUUAACUAGGGACUUGAGUCUGAGAGAAAGUUCUGACAACAUUGGUAAUAAGGCGUCAAGAUAGUGAUAAGGCAUUACAAAUGUCGUCAGCCUUAGCCAGAGAAUCAGAGCUCAAAGAAGAAAUCUGGCGACGCUGGUGAUAUGCCGUCAGAUCAAUGACACGACAUCAGCUACAUCGUUAGCCUAAGAUAGAUUUUGAAGACAGCUGGAGCAACCCUGAUGCCAUCCAUGAUAAGGCAUCAGAUCCUUGACAUGGUGUCAUCUAGUGCGUCACCUAAUCCGAAGAACUUAUGAUUUUUGUUAUUUUAUUUCCAUAAUUAGACUUAAGUAUAAAUAACAUCUUUUAGGGUUUAUUGAGGAGUUCGGUUCUUUUUAGAGAGCAGAUUAUUUUUUAUCCUAAGACUUAGAGAAAAAAACAUUAUUCUUCAUUGUUUCUUUUCCUCAACACUUAUCAAUUAUUGUAGAUUUCUCUUUCGUGAUUGAAUUGAAGAAACAACUUGUUGCUUUUCAUCUGUUCGUAAG